GGGGAAUAUUGGGCAAUGGGGGAAACCCUGACCCAGCAACGCCGCGUGAAGGACGAAAGCCUUCGGGUUGUAAACUUCUUUGAUCAGGGACGAAACAAAUGACGGUACCUGAGGAACAAGCCACGGCUAACUACGUGCCAGCAGCCGCGGUAAUACGUAGGUGGCAAGCGUUAUCCGGAUUUACUGGGUGUAAAGGGCGUGUAGGCGGUCUUGCAAGCCGGAAGUGAAAUUCCCGGGCUUAACCCGGGCGCUGCUCCCGAAACUGCGAGACUUGAGUACUGGAGAGGAUAGUGGAAUUCCUAGUGUAGCGGUAAAAUGCGUAGAUAUUAGGAGGAACACCAGUGGCGAAGGCGGCUAUCUGGACAGUAACUGACGCUGAGGCGCGAAAGCGUGGGGAGCAAAC
rnacentral:rRNA from 1 species